rnacentral:lncRNA from 1 species
AUGCUGGAACUGCCCAUUCUUUGUGGUUGUUGCUGUCACCUGCCUUCUCAUCACUUCCAAGUCGAUCUUUCUCUCCCCCAACUUCUCUGCUGCUGGCCUCCUGGGAGCAUAUCAAAGAGCUUUGUACGUGGAUGCCCACAGGGAAUCUGUCUACUAGAGAAGAAAACACUGAAGCUCAGAGAAUGGCGGAGAAUGUCUGUGGCUACACAGCUAGUAAGUUGGUGGAAUUUGGAUUUAAACUCCAGCAUCUCUGACUCUGAGACUAGAGCUCUCACCCACGGCCCUGAAACCCUCCUUUGCCCAAGCCAGAGCCCUGGGAGUUGUCCUCAGUUCCUCCCUCAACACUCACACCCAGCCAAGGCUGGCACCUGAACUCACAUGGCUCUCAGAGCAGCUCCUCAAACCUCUGCCCUGGCUGAGUUCAUUCACUCUCACCCUCACCCAGUACAGCCAUGCAAGACUGGGAGAAAAUAAACUCAGCCCCUGCCUCUCUCCAGUCUUCCCCCUUCAAACCACACUUUGCAUUUAGAGAAAAGUGCUUUUUCUACAGCAAAGAUCAUGUCACUCCCUUGUUUAAAAGCCUUUGGUGGCCGUGCACAGCAUUCAGACAAGAGCAAGCCUUUCCACUUACAGCAGGACUCUGUCGGCUUCACUAGCAGGGCGGCCCAUCUGCAUUAUCUGUGGAUUCUGUAUUUGCCAGUUUGCUUACUCUCUACAAUGUAUUUGUAAUUCCAAAAUCAAUACUCCUGGCAUUUUUGCAUAAUUCACAGACAUGUAUAGAGUGGCAAAAAAUUCAAGUUGUCUGACAUGCGCAUUGCCAAAGGAGGGUGAACAAGGUGACACUCUGCCAUCAGUUUCAACUUUCAUGCUAUAAACAAAUAUCCUGUCUAUAGUCUGUUCAGUAUCAUGUUUUUCACAUUUUUGGACCUUUAUUGGGGAUUCACUGUUUAAAAUGUCCUCCAAGCAGAGGGCUGAAGUGCUAUCUCAUGUUCCUAAGUGCAAGAAGGUGGUGACAUGCCUUAUGGAGAAAGUACAUGAAUUAGAUUAGCUUUGGUCAGGCAUGAGCCACAGUGCUGUCAGCCAUGAGUUCAAUGUUAAUAAAUUAACAACAUAUAUUACACAAAGUGUGUUUAAACAGAAACAAAAAUAAAACAAGGCUAUAUGUUUUGGCUGGUUAAUGAUGAUGUGACCACAGGUUCACAGGAGCCUAACCCUGUAUUUCCCCUAGUUCAGCUAGUUCAGUAUUCAUGGCAACUUUGUUUUUGAGUAUAACAAUCUCAAAGAAAGAGAAUCAACUGUACUUUCCCCUAGUCUGUGGCUUGUCUGUUCAUUUUCAUAACAGUAAGUUUUGAAGAGCAGAAGCUUUUAAUUUUGACAUAAUCCACUUAAAUUUUAAAAACAUUUUAUGGCUUGUGAAUCUACAGGUUUAAUGCAAUUCCUGUCAAAAUGCCAACAGCAUUUUUCACAGAACUAGAAGAAACAAUCCUAAAAUUAGUAUGAAACCACAAAAAAAUCCCCCAGAGCCAAAACAAUCUUGAAAAAGAAAGCAAAACUGGAGGUAUCACAAUCCCAGAUUUCAAGUUAUACUACAAAGCUAUUGCAAUCAAAACAGUAUGGUACUGGCACAGAAAUGGACACAUAAAUCAAUGGGACAGAAUAGAAAACCCAGAAAUAAACUCACAACUAUAUGGUGAAUUAAUCUUCCACAAAGCAGGAAAGAAUAUCCAAUGAGAAAAAGACAGUCUCUUCAACAAAUGGUGUUGGGGAAAGUGGACAGCUACAUGCAGAAGAAUGAAAUUGGACUAAAGAAAGAAACUGGACUACUUUCUUUCUUAUACAAGAAACAAAAAUAAACUCGGAUUAAGGACCUAACUGUGAGACCUGGAACCAUAGAAAUCCUAGAAGAAAACACAGGCAGUAAUUUCUCUGACAUUAGCUGUAGCAACACUUUUCAAGUAUGUCUCCUGAGGCAAGGAAAAUAAAAGCAAAAAUAAACUAUUAGAAUUACAUCAAAUUAAAAGUGCCACACAAUGAAGGAAAUGGUCAAUGGAGCUAAAAGGCAGCCUACUGAAUAGGUGAAGAUAUUAACAGAUGACAUAUCUGACAAGGGAUUAAUAUCCAAAAUAUAUAAAGAACUAAAACUUAACACCCAAAAACCAAAUAACCCAAUUAAAAAUGGGGAGAAGACAUGAACAGACAUUUAUCCAAAGAAGACACACAGAUGGCCGACACAUGCAAAUAUGCUCGACAUCACUGAUUAUCAGGGAAAUACAAAUCAAAACCACAAAGAGAUAUUGCUUCGCAUGUGUUGGAAUGGCUAAAAUCAACAAUACAAGAAACUACAGGUGUUCACUAGGAUGUGGAGAAAGGGGAACCCUCUUGCACUGUUAGUGGAAUGCAAACUGGUGCAGCCACGGUAGAAAAUAAGUUUUUUCAAGAAAUCAAAAAUUGUACUAUCCUACAAUCCAGUAAUCACACUACUGGGUAUUUGCCCCCAAAAUACAAAAGCAUUAAUUCAAAGGGAUACCCAGUGUUUAUUGCAGCAUUACUUACUUUUUUUUUUUUUAAGAUUUAUUUAUUUGAGAGAGAGAGACAACAUGGGGGGACGGACAGAGAGAAUCUCAAGCAGACUUCCCACUGAGUGUGGAGCCAGACAUGGGGCUCAGUCCCACAACCCUGAGAUCAUGACCUGAGCCAAAAUCAAGAGUCAUAAACUUCACUGACUGAGUCACCCAAGUGCCCCUGCAGCAUUAUUCAUAAUAGCCAGGAUAUGGAAGCAACCUACCGUGCACAGAAGUUUCACAACAGCCAUGUUUUGUUUUCAAAAUGGAAAGAAAACUUAUUAUUAUUACAGGAACCUAAUAGAAGCAGUAGAGGAAGGGAAUCUACACAGAAAGGAAAGUAAUAGUAGGCAAACUGGGUACUUACAACAUCCAACCAGGGAAGCCCCAUGGAGAGAGCCAGGCUGAAGCACAGAUCGAGAGGCCUGGAUAGACUGUCCUCCCCUCAGGUGAGACUUCCAACUUCCAAAAGUAUAUAAAAAUAAAACAAUUCAUAAAAUUUUAUGGCUUGUGCUUUUUUGUGUACUAAGAAAUCUUUGCCUAACUCAAGGUGACAAAAUUUUCUCCUAUGUUAUGUUACAGAAGUUUUAUAAAUUUAGCUCUCUUAUAUUUAGGACUAUCUCCUACUUUGAAUUCAUUUUUUUUUCAUUUAUUUUUUUUUUAUUGGAGUUCAAUUUGCCAACAUAUACUGUAUCACCCAGUGCUCAUGAAUUCAUUUUUGUAUGUAGUAUGAAGUAAGGGUCAAAGUUCUUUUUCCUUCUCCUCCUCUUCCAACUCCUCCUCCUCGUCGUCCUCCUCCUCCUCAUCCGCGUCCUCCUCCUCUCCUAUUCCUCCUUCUUCUUCCACUACCAUUUGUUGAAAAGCCCACCUUUCCUCAUUGAAUCACUUGACAAAGUACUUUUGUUGAAGGCAAAUUGACUACAUUGUGUGAGUGUAUUUGUGGAUUCUACUUUGUUUCACGAUCUAUGUCUAUCCUUAUGCCAAUACCACACUGUCUUGAAAUCUUGAAAUCAGGUACUGUAAGUCAUUAACUUGUUCUUUUUCAAAAUUGCUUUAGCUAUUCUAGGUCACUUGAAUUUCCAUAUAAAUUUUAGAAUCGGUUUGGAAGUUUCUGUUUAAAAACCUGCUGGGAUUUUGAUUGGAAUUUGACUGAAUCUACAGGUCACUUUGACAGGAAUUAACAUCAUAACAGUAUUACAUUCCAAUUUUAAAUGGUAUAUUUUUUUAUAAUUGAGAUUUUAUUAGUUUUUGUUUGAACAUUAAUACUCAGGCAUUAUGAACAAUAUCCAAAGAUGUAUGGAGAUCACCCAGUUCUGUUAGGGUAGCAAAGAUCAGGCCACAAUUUUACAAAGUAUGAGAGAAUAG